GGCGGCGUGCCUAACACAUGCAAGUCGUACGAGAAAGUUGGCUUCGGCCGAUGAGUAAAGUGGCGCACGGGUGAGUAAUGCGUGGAUAAUCUGCCCUUUAGUUGGGAAUAACGUACCGAAAGGUGCGCUAAUACCUGAUAAUACUGCAUAACUACUGUUGUGUAGUCAAAGAAGGCCUCUGUUUACAAGCUUUUGCUGAAGGAUGAGUCCGCGUACCAUUAGCUGGUUGGUGGGGUAAUGGCCUACCAAGGCUACGAUGGUUAGCUGGUCUGAGAGGAUGAUCAGCCACACUGGAACUGAGACACGGUCCAGACUCCUACGGGAGGCAGCAGUGAGGAAUAUUGCGCAAUGGGGGCAACCCUGACGCAGCAACGCCGCGUGAGUGAGGAAGGCCGAAAGGUUGUAAAGUUCUUUUGCUAGGGGAGAAUAAGUGAGGGAGGGAAUGCCCUCAUGAUGACAAGGACUAGCGAAUAAGCCCCGGCCAACUACGUG
rnacentral:rRNA from 1 species